UACGGAGGGUGCAAGCGUUAAUCGGAAUUACUGGGCGUAAAGCGCGCGUAGGCGGUUUGUUAAGUCAGAUGUGAAAGCCCAGGGCUCAACCUUGGAACUGCAUCUGAUACUGGCAGGCUAGAGUACAGGAGAGGGAAGUGGAAUUUCAGGUGUAGCGGUGAAAUGCGUAGAGAUCUGAAGGAACACCAGUGGCGAAGGCGGCUCCCUGGCCAAAGACUGACGCUCAUGUGCGAAAGUGUGGGUAGCGAACAGGAUUAGAUACCCGUGUAGUCC
rnacentral:rRNA from 1 species